AGCGAACGCUGGCGGCAGGCCUAACACAUGCAAGUCGAACGGACCCUUCGGGGUUAGUGGCGGACGGGUGAGUAACACGCGGGAACGUGCCUUUAGGUUCGGAAUAGCUCCUGGAAACGGGUGAUAAUGCCGAAUGUGCCCUUCGGGGGAAAGAUUUAUCGCCUUUAGAGCGGCCCGCGUCUGAUUAGCUAGUUGGUGAGGUAAUGGCUCACCAAGGCGACGAUCAGUAGCUGGUCUGAGAGGAUGACCAGCCACAUUGGGACUGAGACACGGCCCAAACACCUACGGGAGGCAGCAGUGGGGAAUCUUGCGCAAUGGGCGAAAGCCUGACGCAGCCAUGCCGCGUGGAUGAUGAAGGUCUUAGGAUUGUAAAAUCCUUUCACCGGUGAAGAUAAUGACUGUAGCCGGAGAAGAAGCCCCGGCUAACUUCGUGCUAGCCGCCGCCGUAAGAC
rnacentral:rRNA from 1 species